CAAUAGCGUAUAUUAAAGUUGUUGCAGUUAAAAAGCUCGUAGUUGGAUUUCUGGUUGAAGCGACCGGUCGGGCGUUGAUUCGUCUGCACUGGAGUCGGUUUUGGCCAUCCUCUAGGAAAGUGCGUCUGGUAUUAAGUUAUCGGGCGUAUGAUCCUGGUCUUUUACUGUGAAAAAAUUAGAGUGUUUAAAGCAGGCCUUCGCCUCGAAUACAUUAGCAUGGAAUAAUAAGAUAGGACUUUGGUCUAUUUUGUUGGUUUGCAGACCGAAGUAAUGAUUAAUAGGGAUAGUUGGGGGUAUUUAUAUUCCGAUGUCAGAGGUGAAAUUCUUAGAUUUUCGGAAGAUAAACUUAUGCGAAAGCAUUUACCAAGGAUGUUUUCAUUAA
rnacentral:rRNA from 1 species